ACUAGAGUAGAAGUGUUAAGCUUCACUGCAUGUGCAGUAUAUAUCUAUGUAACAAAAGGAUACCUGUAAUAUUUGAUCUUACGCCUGUGUCAUAGUAACUCAUUCAGAAAUUCAGUGUAGGUUUCCAGCAGAUAAGUUAAAUGAAGUUUAUUUUGAUGGUAUAAGGUCUGAGAAAGAUGUUUAAGAAAAUAUAAAGCAUCUUUGAGAGACAGGAUGGAUUAUUCAAGAUGAUGAGCAUUGAAAUUGAAACCAUCCCUUCUAACGAUGAUAGUGAAAGCCAUAGGGAGGUAAGACGUGAAGAUGAGGAUUUGCCAACUGAAAAACUCGUUUCUGAAGAAAGGCGGGAAUAUGAGUUUUCGGAGGACAUCAAAUGGAACAACAGUUCCGAGGACCACAAUGCGAAGUGCGUAUCUUUUAAUAAGCUGUUCUGUCUGAACACAAAGAAGCGUUGCUGCUGCGGCUUAUCUAUCUUAAGCAAAAACAGCGAAAAGGCUCAGGAGGUUAACGUUGAGGAAGGGGUAAUAAAGUUUGGCCUCUAUGGUCAAACGGUGAAGAAGUAUGUAAGAAUAGUUGGGGACACAAAUAUGUCGGGCAUGAUUGAACUACUGAUGAACGUCUUUGAGCUCGAUAUGCCCACGCUCCUUAUAUCCGUGACAGGGAGCGCUAAAAAUGUCCAUAUGAGCAAACGCUUCCAGGACACACUCCGACACGGGCUCAUAAAGACUUUACUUAUAACAGGUGCCUGGAUCGUAUCAGGCGGCACAAACACAGGAGUAAUGAAGCAUGUCGGUGACGCUGUAAAGGCUUGUAUGAUUACGGGGAAAGAAGUCGUCUCCAUUGGAAUAGCGCCGCCUGAAUGUUUGGUGAAUAAAAAGGAUCGCAUCGAUGAAGAGCCGAAAAAAGAUAUUCUAGACCCGAAUCACUCCCAUUUUGUCAUCGUAGACACUGCAGAACUGGUGGAGAAAAAUGCCAUAUUCAAUUCUAGGACGGAUGCCGAAUCAGUGCCUAAAAUUCUGCUAGUUCUGGCGGGUGAUUCUGACACGCUAGAAACUAUUCAUCAAGCGAUAGAAAACAACACGCCCAUUAUCGUUGUGAAGAACUCUGGCGGGGUAGCGGAUAUCCUCGCGUACGCUUAUCUCAAUGCAGAGGAAAUGGAAAUUGAAGAAACGGACCCUGCUGGAAAAAAGCACAAUAAGAUAUGUCGGUACCUCGAGGAAUCUGUGAAACAGACGGUUGCGGAUAUGAUAAAAGAGGAAUUCGGCGAAAACGACACGGUGAUGCAACGCAAAUGUGCCUGCGUCAUUGAUUACGAGCUCAUUUCCGUGUAUGACAUGGAAGGGCCGGGCAGUGUUAAGGAUAUUGAUAUUUUCCAGGUUCUAACGAAAGGCAACACGUACCAAGUGAAAGACCAAUUAAAGCUAGCCCUGUGCUGGAACAGAAUUGAUGUGGCAAGGAGCGUCAUCAUCAACAAUGGCAAUAAAUUGCCGACGAAGGAACUGUAUCAAGUAAUGAUCUCGGCAAUACUACAAAACCGGGUGGACUUUGUUAAACUUUUCAUUCACAACGGUAUGGACCUAAGGACGGACCUUACAGAUCAAGAGAUUCAGCGUCUGUACAAAACGGUCCGUGUUAGAGGAAACCAUGGAGUAUCGGUGAUUCAUGACGUAAUUCCUGACACUUAUGAAAUAGUUUUUCCAGGAUAUGAGUUCAUACGAAUUGACAAGAAUGUUCAGUUCCUGUUUAUUUGGUCGAUAUUGAUGAUGUAUCAAGACAUGGCGAAGCUGUGCUGGGCUGAAGGAAAGGAUGCCAUAGCUAUGGCUUUGGUUGGUAACAAAAUGUUCAAGUCCAUGUUGAGCGAAACACGUGACAAGGAGCGCAUCAAGGAAAUACAGGCAUGCAUAAAGGAAUGGACAUGUCUAGCUAACGGAGUCUUGUCUGAAUUGUACUCAACAGACGAACGAAAAACCGAGGACCUUUUGGUACAAAGGCAAAUCAACUGGGGCAAUGAAUCGUGUAUGUCGAUAGCUGUGCAGGCAGACAACACGGAUUUUAUCACACAAGCCGCAUGUCAAUCUCUGCUAAACAGGAUAUGGAAUGGCCGACUGGCUAAGGACAAUUCGCGAUGGAGACUCCUGCUGUGUUUGCUGUGUCCAUUCUUGGCUCAUAACCUGCUGGACUUCACCGAACGUCAUGUUUCGUCCGAGAAAAAUAACACCUCGGAAGAUUGGACGACAAAAAAGCUAUCAGUAGUUUUCGGUAGGGCCUACUACUUCUUCAACGCUCCAGUCAUCAUCUUUUUGAACAAUUUGUGUUCUUACCUCGUGUUCCUCAGCCUGUACACGUAUAUCCUGGUCUUCAGCUUUGACACCCAAGUCUCCCUGGAAGAGAUAAUUCUUAUUGUAUGGGUGUUCGCUUUUGCAACAGAGGAAGUCAGACAGAUGGUAUCGACAUCUUCAAAACCAUUAGCCACGAAAUGUCAUAGCUACAUCAAUAACACAUGGAACAAAGUCGACACCAUGACCAUAGUAGUGUUCAUUAUCGGAAUAAUACUUCGAUUCCUGCCUUACGAGAGUACUUUCGAAGCUGCCAGGGUGGUCCUUGCUCUCAACUAUGUAACGUUUUUCCUGCGGUUAUUGCAUAUAUUUUCAGUUCACAAAGAACUGGGACCAAAACUUGUCAUGAUUGGCAAAAUGGUUCAGGACUUAAUGUACUUUGUGCUGAUCUUGAUUGUGUUUGUAUUCUCGUUCGCGAUCUCCUCCAACUCCAUUCUUUAUCCAAACUCCCCUUUUACAUGGAACACGGCUGUUCAGAUCAUCCGUAAAUCCUACUGGAACAUCUAUGGAGAGCUGUUCCUGGAAGAAAUUGAAGGUGAAGCUGACUGUACGAACGACGCUGCAUUAUGGAUGAAUGGUACCCAAGCCAGAUGCCCGACCGACACAGGAAUGUGGUUGGUGCCGAUCAUGAUGGGCAUCUACAUGAUGAUUGCCAAUGUCUUGCUACUAAACCUUCUUAUUGCAAUGUUCAGCAACACGUUCCGAAAAGUCCAGGACAACACAGACAACCAUUGGUACAUCCAGCGUUACUCUCUUAUCAACGAAUACAGCAUGCGGCCUUCACUUUUCCCACCGUUUAAUCUCCUCUUGCCUUUUGUUUGGCUUUUUGAUUGGCUAUUCCGGUUAAUAUUUAAGUCGCGUUAUAUGGCAAAGAAGCUGAAAAUAAAUUGUUUCUGUCGAUGGUUAGGGAAUCAGAAAGAGUUGAAACAAUGGGAGGAAGUGAUUGCAGCCAACUUUAACCAUAAGCGGGAAGUGAAAGAUUUGCGAAGUCCUGAAAACAAACUUAAUGACACACACGAUAUUAUAGAGCAGAUCCAUGAACAGCUUGUAUUGAAGAUUCAUCCUGGACUAGAGAGUAGGCUGACAAGCAUCGAAAAUCAGUUGGAGCGGAUAAUACAGAUGAAUGAGAAAAAACCUUCAGAUCAAGCACCAGGUCCAGUCUAGAAAGCAAGUCAGCGAUGAAGGUAUGGACUGAUCUCAGAUUAGGGACAAGCGUUGGUUUCAGAGAAUUUAUCACUGGCAUUCUGGUUGAUUGUCCCUCACAAGCUGUCAAUGCACAAUUUACUCAUAUACUUUGUUAAACUCGCUACCAAGAGGCUAGAAGCAUACAGUUAUACCAGCCGGCACGACACACAGCUAGACUUUGUUUAACUCUUGCCGAAAGGCUUGGAGCAUACUUUUUAAACCAGCUGCAUGGGUCACAUCUCAAAUGUGUGAUACUCGCUGCAAUGAGGCAAAGUGAACAUUUAUAUAAAAGUUAAAUAUACAUUCAAUUAAAUAUAGACUAAUAGAUUUUAUUUAACUUUCAAAGUAACCAAGAGGAGAAAAUAUGCAUUUUAUGAAUGAUUGAUUCGUGUUCUGUAUUAUUGAAUAAUAUUUACAAGGAUGCAUAGGGCAAACAUGUAUAUUGUUAUUUUUUUUAUGAUAUAAAUAUUCAUCGUUUACUAACUUAAACUAUGUCAAAUAAAGAUUAACAUUCAGAUAUUCUGAAUUUCCCCCAAAAUGUAUGCAUUAUGUAUACUAGUAACUGCAGUGUUUCUGCAAAAUUGUCAAAACCACACCCAUGAUAUAAACCUACAUUUUACAUUGAGUUUGUCUUCGCUGAUUUCGGGGAUAAGGAACUUCUUCGUAUUAGUUUUGUCUGUCACCCGUUUGUCAGAAACUAAAGAUGAUUGGCAAUUACUAAGAUGUACUUUUUAUUUGUAUUUGUUGAAACAUCUUCUGUUUUUCUUGGUCUAAAUGAUAAACAAUCAGUUUAUUUCUUUGAGCUAAUUGCACAUGAUUUCAUUAAAGAUAUGUAAUCACAAUGAAGAAACACAUUGUUAUAAUGACCCUUUUUAAAUGGAAGAUAUAACUCAAAAUUAUCUAUACAAAAACUGUCUUUGGUCGCAAAUUUCAGCUCAGAAAAUCAUCAAAUAUUUUUACAGGUCCAUCAAUCUAACAAGUUAAACGUUUUUCUGUAUAUUAUAUAUAUCUUGACUCAAUAUAUUGUUAUUGUAAUCAGGUUUCUUUGCUUAGUUCAGUUAUGUUAAAUGUUUCAUAUAUAUUCAUUAUUAAGGCUUCUAACGUACUAGAACGGCGACGCUGAACAUAGUAAUCAAUUUGGCAUUGCCUUAGUAAAAUGAACAAUACUAUCUGUUUUAACCAUUUUAAGAUAUAUUACUUCCAGUCCAUGGUGGUGUUACCAGAAAUACGUAUAUAUAAAUGUUAGGUCAUAAAGCAGAAAGUGUUCUAUAUCGUAGGGAGACCCUGAAAUGAAAUAAAAAAAACAUUCAAUUUCGGUAGAAGCCUUUAUAGUUAUACCGCAGUAAAAGCGAAUAUUAUUAUGUUUUUUUUCCUAUUCCGUAAUAACAUACAAUUAUUUUGUUAUCUCAAACUAACAAAAUUGGAUUUCGUCAUAACGAAUUUGUUGUCUGCUGUUAAAAUGAAAUAUUAUUCUACGAAAGACUUUUAUAAUUUGUGAUCUAAUGAGAUACUAUUGCCAUUAUAACUGUUUUAUGUGUAUGAAGUAUUGUAAUGUUGAAGAUCAGUAUCCUACGCGGUUGUUUUGCUUGAUGAGCUCAUUGGAGCUGGUUUUCAGCUAUAUAUUGAUAUACGAAUUUAAUUCAAUUGUAUAUCAAUGCCGUAUUGUUUUGUUUAAAUAUUUUUAUAAAGAUGUUUUUUUCAUUUUUUUAUUUUAUCCAUAAUCAAUAUCAUUAUUUCAUUAUUUCAAUUUGCUUCAUGUUGUUUUCAUGUUUGUAGUAUACCUUGUUGAUUUCUUAUGUUGUAGUACGAUGUUUAACUAUUUUCAGCUACAAGGACUCUUUGGUAUUUGUUUUUAUCAUUUUUUCUAAAUAAUUGAACCAACGUGUUUAACAGUUGUAAAUACUGACCGACAACUGGAUGAGCAUAAUAUUACAUACAUGCAAAUAGUCAUUAUUGAUCAAGACUUUAAUCAUGUGAUGAAACAGUAACAUUUCUGAUAGCUAAUUCAUACCUUUCAUAACCGCGUCUGGCCGGAUUAGUAUAACACGUGGUUUAUGAAGCAGAGAGACCUAAUUGAACUAUCAUCUGAUUUGGUGUAUUUAUGUUCAGCUUAUGACAUAACUUAUAUAAGUCUUAGGUAAAACUUUUUCAUGUUUUCUUACAAAUCAUAUAUGAUUUUUAUUCUAAUAUUUAAAGAUAGGAAGUAUUUACUUGUUCGAGUAUAUCGAAUUGUUAUAUACCUAUGUCGAAUUGUUAUAUACCUUAUGUCAUGUUGUCUAUAUAUAGUUAUUAAAAAUAUAUCCAACUAUUAACAAUUUCUGCAUUAUAGUUUAACUACAUUAUUUUACUGGCAUGUUACUCAAGCUAAUGAACACAUUUAAUAAGAAAACAAUUCCUUUUUUGUAAGGUACAUCUCACCUAUGCUUGAGAGUGUUUUAGUUUUAGGAAAAUAUGCUGUGUAUACAACACACUAUUUUUUUAUGAAUUUUAUCAGUCUUCAUUUACCAGAAACUGUCAAUUUUUUCAUUUUGUUUUUAUCUUAAUUCAUUUGUAAUUCAUA